UAACCUUCGAGAAGUUCUCUUCAUUGUCCUUCGUCUUCAAUACCAGACCCUUAAUUCAGUCACAACCCAUCUAGGUGGAAAGUUCUCAUCAAUACAAAUUUAUCAAGUCCAAACACAAGGUAGCUACUGGGAACCGUUGAAGAGUUCUCUUAACUGUCCUUCGUCUUCAU